rnacentral:rRNA from 1 species
UACAGAGGUCUCAAGCGUUGUUCGGAUUCAUUGGGCGUAAAGAGUUCGUAGGCGGUUUGUCGCGUCCGUUGUGAAAGCUUGGGGGCUCAACCCCAAGUCUGCAGUGGAUACGGGCAGACUAGAGUCAGGUAGGGGAGAACGGAAUUCCUGGUGUAGCGGUGAAAUGCGCAGAUAUCAGGAAGAACACCCGUGGCUAAGGCGGCUCUCUAGUACGGUACUGACGCUGAGACGCGAAAGCGUGGGGAGCGAACAGG